CUCCAACACCACCACAGAGGCCUCGGACCUCAUCUCCUCUGGUCCACAUCGUCAGCGAGGGUUGAAGCAGGGACCAGAGUCGUGAGGGGGCGCAGGUCUGUACAUUCACCUGCUGUGUGUCUGUCGGGGGCGGCUCCAGCCUGGGGGAGACUCCUCAGUGUCAGGCUGCCAGCCCCCCCCCCUCUCUGAGGCGUCACCUUGCCACUGCCAGGCCUCUGCUGCAGGGGACAGCAGAGCCCCUGCACUAUGAAGGAAUCAAAUCGUUAUACAACUCAUCUAAUCAGAUUUACCACCACAAACAGGAGUUUAUGACCAGGAUUGGAGGCCACAACUCAACUAACAUCACAUGACGUGACCCCAAAUGACAACAGAAGAGAAGAAUCAAACAUGACAGGAAGUGAAACGACACGGGGCAAUGACAUGUCACAAAAAGAACAAGUGACACAAACUGAAGCAGACACGAGGUGAAGUGUCACGCAGCAAAAUCUCUCUACAUGAUAUUAAAUCACUCAAGACAUGAAAUACAAACAUCACAAGUGACAUCACAAGUGACAUCACGGCACAAUAUUUGCCAUGUGUCAUCUGAUGUGGUCUUCACCUCGCAGGCCCGGAGGCUCCGAGGCUCUGGAGGAGAGCCGGGUGUCGGCCGGGGGCCGAGGUCCUGGUGGAAGCAGAGUGAAGUCUGUGCUCUCAGGAAACUUCCUCCUGUGCUUUGUGUGGACGCACACGCUGUCACCUGCAGCUCCGUGUGUCCUCCUGUCCGUCACCUCACGUCCAACACAGUCACCUGCAGCUCCGUGUGUCCUCCUGUCCGUCACCUCACGUCCCAACACAGUCACCUGCAGCUCUGUGUCCUCCUGUCUGGGUGUGUCCUACUGUCCGUCACCUCACGUCCUACACAGUCACCUGCAGCUCGGUGUGUCCUCCUGUCCGUCACCUCACGUCCAACACAGUCACCUGCAGCUCCGUGUGUCCUCCUAUCCGUCACCUCCACGUCCAACACAGUCACCUGCAGCUCCGUGUGUACUCCUAUCCGUCACCUCACGUCCAACACAGUCACCUGCAGCUCCGUGUGUCCUCCUGUCCGUCACCUCACGUCCAACACAGUCACCUGCAGCUCUGUGUCCUCCUGUCCAUCACCUCACGUCCUACACAGUCACCUGCAGCUCCGUGUGUCCUCCUGUCCGUCACCUCACGUCCAACACAGUCACCUGCAGCUCCGUGUGUCCUCCUGUCCGUCACCUCACGUCCUACACAGUCACCUGCAGCUCCGUGUGUCCUCCUGUCUGGGUGUGUCCUCCUGUCUGGGUGUGUCCUACUGUCCGUCACCUCACGCCCUACACAGUCACCUGCAGCUCGGUGUGUCCUCCUGUCCGUCACCUCACGUCCAACACAGUCACCUGCAGCUCGGUGUGUCCUCCUGUCCGUCACCUCGUCCCAACACAGUCACCUGCAGCUCGGGUGUGUCCUCCUGUCCGUCACCUCACGUCCAACACAGUCACCUGCAGCUCCGUGUGUCCUCCUGUCCGUCACCUCACGUCCAACACAGUCACCUGCAGCUCUGUGUCCUCCUGUCCGUCACCUCACGUCCUACACAGUCACCUGCAGCUCGGUGUGUCCUCCUGUCCGUCAUCUCACGUCCAACACAGUCACCUGCAGCUCCGUGUGUCCUCCUGUCCGUCACCUCACGUCCAACACAGUCACCUGCAGCUCCGUGUGUCCUCCUGUCCGUCACCUCACGUCCUACACAGUCACCUGCAGCUCCGUGUGUCCUCCUGUCCGUCACCUCACGUCCUACACAGUCACCUGCAGCUCCGUGUGUCCUCCUGUCCGUCACCUCACGUCCAACACAGUCACCUGCAGCUCCGUGUGUCCUCCUGUCCGUCACCUGCAGGGAGAUGGUCCACCACACCAGUCACAUUGUGCUGUAUGUGAGUUUUGGUCCCCCCCGCACCCAGAGCUUCAGACGCACUGGGCGGAGCUACGACGGAUCCUCGCUGGACUUACAAGUUAGACGGGAACAUUGAGUUAUUGUAGCACCACAGUUCAACAGGACAGUUGAAAUGUGCCUGAAUGUCCACUGUUGGCCGUGGGUGUAAUGCACCUUGUCGCCUCAUGGUGGCGGGAACAGGUCUUCAGUCCUGACAUUAAACAGAGGGCAGGCAGUUUGGAGCUGAUUCAAUACGAAGGGUUCUGUUUGGCACAUUAGAACGUCAGUCUCUUCUGCAGGAGGGGAACAGAAAGCAUGUGUGUGGUCUGUAGGGACAGUGUUUCACAUGACCUCUCACCUUCUGAGGGUUUUCUACCUGAUAGCAACAGGAACCGUUCAGGCAGCUGGAUGUGGAGCCGUUGGGAGGGAGAGGGAUGAGAUGGCAUCACAUUCUCGUUCUCAAACCAUCAAUCUGCUUAUUUCUGUAACCACAGACUUUCCCUCAUCCAUCGCUCCUCCUCCUCUCACCCCUCCAGCCUCCCUUACCCGAUGAGUUCCUCUUUACUUCAGCUCCUCUCUCCCACUCAUCCAUUAGCUGCUGUCGAGACUCAGAUCCCCUGAAUGUCCCAACAAUGUCCAGAACAUUCAUGAAGCAGUGAUGUCAAAUAGUAAUGGCUGUAAAGAAUGGAAGAAAGUAUGGCUAUGCAUGAAAAUACAGAGCAAACGUAUCCAUGGUAACACAGAUGAACAGCAACUUCCAGUGUUCACACCCUGACAGUUUACAUGGGUGGACACGGCGAGGGAGAGGAGACGCGAUUCCCCUUGUUUCCAUGAGUAUUGUGGAGUUACAGGCAGUAACAGUGAGUCAUCCACUGGACGGAUGGACACUCCUUUGUUCAAUCGCAGGAUACUUGGUAACACUUUGCUUGUUAUAAUGCUUAAAACAACUGUGCCUCUCAGCAUCUUAACACAAUCACAAUGUCAAUGUUGAAGUAAAUGUUUGACAUUUGGGGAUAUAUAUGGACAUAUGUGCAUUCACCCUGUGAUAAGUUAAACUGAGCUCGGUGUGUACUGUGUGUACCGUGUGUACCGUGUGUGCCGUGUGUACCGUGUGUGCCGUGUGUGCCGUGUGUGCCGUGUGUGCUGUGUGUGCUGUGUGUGUUGAGUAUACCGUGUGUACUGUGUGUACUGUGUAUACCGUGUGUACUGUGUGUACUGUGUGUGCUGUGUGUGCUGAGUAUACCGUGUGUACUGUGUGUGCUGUGUGUACCUUGUGUACUGUGUGUACUGUGUAUACCGUGUGUACUGUGUGCUGUGUGUGCUGUGUGUGCUGAGUAUACCGUGUGUACUGUGUGUGUUGAGUAUACCGUGUGUACUGUGUGUACUGUGUAUACCGUGUGUACUGUGUGGCCUCCACUGUAUGAGAGUUGUUCAUCUCAAUCUGAACAAGGUCAUAUGUGAAAUGCUGAACUAUUUCUUUAACAGUAGGUAUACUGAUGACAUUUUAAACACGUGCACCAUUUUAGUUUUGAAGGUAUUGAUAUGUGAUAUGAUAAGUGAUAUUUUGAUUAAAUGAUUUUUGUUUUACAAUUCAU
ensembl:lncRNA